CUGUCAACUGACCACAUCUUCUUCCGCUUGUCAAAAUAGUUCUGCUCAGUUUGGUGUUUUAUUACGGAUUUAUUCUCAUAGUACCGUUUCAUAAUUUGAUAUAAUAAUAUAAUAAUAUGCUGAUAUUAAAAUUAAAAAAAAUAAAAAAUGUAAUAUUCGAACUGAAGGAAUUCCCGCCCUAGCGCAAGGACACAUUCUCCUCCAAGCACGCAGUGGAGCUGCUGCGCGCGCAGAAGGAAUAACUCGACCUUCAGUUUCACGGUCAAUCUUCAAUCUGAGGCGAAAAUAAGCAGAUAAGUUCAGUGAGUGCUAAAACCAUGGUCAACAUGAAAGGUCAUAGUUAACGACCACAUCACCAUCUUCUGCAACGCUCUGAUGUUUGCUUCAUACAACUGCUUGAACAUUUCAUACCCAGGAAACCAAGGAGAAACGCAAGAGAUUGUGCAAAGAUUCCUUUUUAAGAUGAACCCCGAGAAGGGAUCGAAAGUGGAGAAGACCACAUCGAGAAAGAAAUCAGCAGUCAGUCCAAAGGUUCUUUCACUGAUUAACAAGAUUGCGGACUUUGAAAGGAUGGAGUAAAACUUGGAGUGUCAGAUCUUCCUACAUUGCCUAGCAGAAAUUCUUGACAGUGUCAAAGACUUAAAAUACUUGCUGAUUAUUUGCUUUCAUGGUUGAUUUUUUUUUUUUUUAAUGCAUCAUCUGUUGUCAAGAUGAAUUAAUCUGUUCACAGGUGGUUCAGUUUUAAGGACAAAU